rnacentral:lncRNA from 1 species
CACUUUGGGAGGCUGAGGUGGGCGGAUCAGUUGAGGUCAGGAGUUCGAGACCAGCCUGGCCAACAUGGUGAAACCCCUUCACUACUAAAAAUACAAAAAUUAGCCAGGCGUGGUGGUGCCUGUCUGUAGUCCCAGCUACUCAGGAGGCUGAGGCAGGAGAAUCGCUUGAACCUGUGAGGCGGAGGUUGCAGUGAGCUGAGAUUGCACCACUACACUCCAGCCCGG